rnacentral:lncRNA from 1 species
CUUCUGCGUCGCUCACGCUGGGAGCUGUAGACCGGAGCUGUUCCUAUUCGGCCAUCUUGGCUCCUCCCAGACUCAGUUUUAUCAACUGGUACAAAAUAAUAUAAUAUUGAAUGCCUACUAGAAGCCAGGAGAAUUCAAGCUCUCAGAAACUAAUACUUUAAGUGGUAGCUUUCCGUGGGGCCUUAACACAAUGAUUGCAUUGAUUCCUGUGGGGAAGAAGAACAGAGAGACGCAAUGCUUGCUGUUUUAAAAGGAAAAAGGUCUGGAAGGGAGGAUAUUCUGCAUACUACUGUCUGGAGAGAGGUGCUCACCAUGCUCACCAGUGGCUUCUUCAGCAGGACUGGUCUUAAGAAGAGAGUAGGCAGCCACCAACAAAUAUGGUUUAAGGGGUUCAUGCAGGGCUCCUGUUUUUCAAUAUGUUUUCUCUUUACUCCUUGAUGUGUAAAAUUUCUUUAAGGUAAGAACAUUCCUCUGAAAUUAAAAAAAAAUACCUUUGUGAAGGUAUAAUGAAUAGAACUGUGAGUUGGGAGUCACGAAACAGAAUUCUUGCUUCUGUUCUGUAUGUACAUCAUUAGCUCUGUGAACUCAGGUAAGUCCCUUAACCUUUCUGUGGCUAGGUCUCCACAUCUGUAAAAUGACUGGGUUCAGAAAUGGUUUCUAUCAUCCUUUGCAGCUCAAAAAUCUGGAUUAUUGAUGGAAAUUCAUGCUAAUUCAUAAAUGACAGGUGUCAUAUUAUUUCUCAGAGUUCAUUGGAUGGGAGGAAGAGAAGUAGACAAAAAGGAAGGUAAGUAUCAAGGCUGGGAGAAUCUGAAAGUGGCCUGGGGACACAAAAAGGAUGAACUAUGCUUCUUUACAAUUUUACCUCUCAUGUGUAUUACCACUCCAUCUGCAGCACUGCAUAGAAUGACAUUAAAUAUAGGAGGAGGCUUGCAGUAGUCUAAUACCAAUAGUUUAAUACUUUCAUUGAAAGACAAACCUUGAUUCUGAUCCUGGUUCUGCCAUUUAUCAGUGACUACAGGAAAUUACUUAAUAGUUUUGAGCCUCAAUUUACACAUCUAUAGAAUGGGGAAGGAAGGAAGGGUUUGUAAGGAUUUAUAAGCUGGUUUUUGCCCUCUGGAUGACAUUGUGUCUCUCUAGUACAGAAGAUCAUGAGCUCUGCUCUCUGCAGGAUAUCAACUUGAGAGACAGAGGGAAUCAUAGACAUGCUAAUACUCUGGCAAUUUCACCAACAGUUAAGCUACAUUAGUACUGCUCAAUACUGCAUCAUUUCAAAGAUAGCAUCCAGUGCUAAUAUCUUUGGAAUCAGCAACAUUUUCCAAAAGUAGUGAUGCAUCAUAGAUCUUAUCAAUAUCACUAAAAAUGGACUCAUAUCUAGGCACAUGGAAAGUUAAAGCUUAAUUAUGGAUCAUUGCUGUGCAGUAAAUAUAGGCUGUGUUCAAGUAGCAAAUAGUCUCAAAUAACUGAAACCAUUAUUUUGAAGAGAAUAGUCUGAACUGAAAUCUACAUUUAUUAUUAAUGUUCCUGAUGUUGUCAGAAAAGCUUAAUAUUUUCUUUUAUUCUAAUUGCUUUUGUUAUGUGUAAAGCUUCAACCAUAGAGAAGAAAACAUCUCAGAAUAUAUCUUCAGUUGAGUAUGAAAAUUCAUCAUUCCAUAAUGUGUUUUUUAUACCUUGGAGAGGACUUUAUGGUUAAAAACUCCUUUUAUAAUUCUUGAUAUUUUAAUUUAAAAGCUCUUUAUAGUCUUUAAUACUUCUUUAGAAAUCAUGAAUACCAAUUCUUCUAGUGAUAUGUUACCUUAACUGACCACCCCAAACCAAGAGAAGUUGAAUUUCAUCUUAACUCUGAGGAUGACAGAUUUUGAAAACCUUAAAACUUCUUGAGCAGUUUGGAUCUAAUAUGUGGACCCCUUAAAUGGAAAAUGCUGUGACUUUUCAGCUCCAGCUAUUAUAGAAUCAUCAGAAUUUAUUCCUACUUUUAUUUCUGCACAGUAGGAAUAGUAUUCAAAUCUCCUGCAGCUCAUUGCUGCAAGAUGAGGGAUUGAAAGUCAGAUUACAUAUGCCUACUAUAAAAAGUCUGUGUGGGAAAAUAUGCAAGUUUCCA